GGGCACGCUGGUAGCUAAUGCUUAGUCAGAGGCCAUUUCCUUCAGCCUUUGCUACUGCUUGCAGGAGUUGGAAUGCAGGAAAAGGCAAAAACUAAAGUGAACGUACUGAAGUUACUUUGUGAGCUGUCCUGAACAUCUGAAAAGGCUGAAUUUUGGCCUCACUAUUUCUCCAACUGUCUCAAGCACCAGAUCCUACAGAAUUCACUAGCUCUCUUCUUGACCACUGGAAGGACUAUGGCUAUGCACCACAAGCAGUUUUCAAGGGGAGUAUGCUAUAGCAAAGCCUGCUCUGGUCAAGUGAUGACACUCUUCCGUGAGUGGCUGAGAUCCCCAGUAAGCAGAGGGAUUCCCACACUCGCCUCCAAUGUGCUGCAGAACUGCAAGACAUCUUUGGGAAUCAUCUCAGUCCUGUGCCUAUCCAUCAGCAUCAGCUGCUGGAUAUUCAGGCCUGCUGAUUUGGGAAAAGCCAAAUGCUUAUGAGGCAGUACUAAUAAGAAGUUGUAAUCAUCAAUCAACUUUCCAGAACCACGAUUGAGAAAAUAGAAGAUUGUUUCCUAGCAAAUGGCUGCGUAUGUGAAAUGGAUGCAACCAACGAAAUGCAUCUGGAACCCAAAGUUUAUAAAAUGGACUCCACUUCAAAAGGGAUUCUGCACCUGGCAUAAGGACUCACUCCACAUUUCACUCACAAAUAUGGUACAAACAACUCCACUGUCAGACAAAACACUGUUUGAGAAGCACAGAUCAGUGUUAUUCCCCAUGAACACCCAGGACCUGUGACUCCAGGCAAAGCUAAUGCAUACACUGACAAUAUUGUUUGUUUUUAAACUGAAAUUAUUUGAGAAAAAAAACCAAAAAAACAACCUCAGAAAUGCCAAAGACUGUUCAUCUACUUAUUAACCUCUACUUAAGUGUACGCAAGUGCAACAAGCAUGAGCACACAGAGAUACUCAGUAAGACCAUGUGCCUUCCUGUUACCCCAUAUAGGAGCUUGGUAUUUUGUUGGAUGAUGCAAUCAGUCACCUUAAACAAAAUUCAGAAGUAGAUACACAUAAAAACUUAAGUCUUCUUGCUGCAGAUAGAUAUUAAUGGCCCACAAGAAGGCAUUUUCCAGUUUCAAAAUUACACCCACAGAUUUAUGAAGUCAUUACUCAGCUGUAACAACAGGUAGGAGGUUUAGACCAGUGCUGCACUGUAUGAUCCUACUUCAUAAAUCAUGUGGGGUUUAUGUGUAAUAAACUUUUAUUUAACUUGUAUUUUAAAUAAAUAAUUUUACUAGUCCAUAUUCUUAUACUUUUCAAUUGACUAUGACAGCUAGACUUCAUUUGAUAUGAAAAUCAAGACAAGAAAGAAACAGACAUGAGAAAAAUUGGCCCUGCAUCUGUGGGGUCCUGCACUGCACUUACUAAAAAACUUAAAAAUAUAUUUUAAUUAACAUAAGUCAUUAGGAAUAGUUUGUAUAAAAACACUAAGGUUCAACAAGAUUGGGAACACCACUUAUUUCUGUUAUCUGGCUUCAUCCUGCUCUUCAGGCAGGACUGUUCUGAAGUGAACAGAGACCACCGCUGAACACUUUGUGCUUCUACUUGUGGCUACAGACCAGCUGCUGGCUCCUAGUUUCUGGAUCUCUCAGGGCACUCCUACAUGCAGAUCCUUUGACCCUUCCCUGGCAGCAAUCCAUCUGCUUGACUAAAGAUUCAGUGCUAGAGCUCUCCCAAAUCCUCAGCAGGUUAGGAACAUUUUACUGGAGCCUAGAGACAUCAAAAACUCUAUUACUGCCUAAGUCCUUCAGAGAACACAUGGUAUUUGAGCAAGAAACUAAAAUUUAAAAAAAAAUCUUUAAAUAAAGGACACUUUUCUCUUGAAAUCUGAAGAGAAUCGUGGAAUCUUUAAGGAAAAAAAGAUUAAAUGACAAGGAUUGUAAGAGUCCAUUAGCCUGCACGGCCAGAAAUUUGAUGAGCAAGCAUGAACCUACAUCACCUUCUUGGCCUCAGUCUCUUUUCUCUUUCUUUCCCAGACAAAAUGGUAUUUUUUAAAAGACUUACUACUUUUGUUUCAUUUUGUGCCUGCAAUGCGUUUCACCCUAGUUACUGCCAGCCUUCUUCUCUAUCCAGACUCACUUGUAACAUUUAUUAUUCUUGGAAGUAGACCACUGAAACAACUCAGAAAUUGAAAAAAUUUAUCACACCUCCAUUUUUAAUCCUAGUCAAACAGGGUUGUAUCUUACCAUCCAUCUGUAAUUGAAGGUCACACAGAGAGCUGUAGGUGUUCUGUGGAGCUAUCUGGUGAAAUACCAGAAGUAAGAUAGCUUGCAAUGUGUUAGCACGGCCAUUAUGCC